AGGGUUUUUAAAAAAGUUUUUUGUGAGGGUUAGGACUAUAGUAUUCAUAAAAUAUAUAAAUGAAUAUAAAAACAACAGAAAAACUAUAGAAAAAUAAAGAAAAAUCUCACCAUUUAAAUAGCUGAAUAACUGUGUGUGUGUGUGUGUGUACAGCCACAGACGGAGAUGAACGCUCAUGACCUUUAUUGUGUAAAUUUAGCUUGUUUCAUGACACAUAUAUGAAUUUUAAUUAUAACGAUGUUUAAUAUAGACAUUUUAAUUUCCCCUGUGAGACAAUCACAGUGUGUUUGAAUCAGACUUUAGUGGGCAGAUUUAUUUGAAAGUGAGAUCUUCAGGAAGUGUGGGCAACGAGACGUGUUCUUCUGAUUUCAUGAAGAGCAGAUAUUUCUAGAUCACGCUCACAUUUCCAGACGCGCGCCUCGUGGACGUUGUACUGAUGAUGUCGACGUAAUGCGGCGGGAGAACCAAAACACGCCACAGGAAACUGUAAAAAUGUGCUUCCUUUAUUAGAGGGAAACUUGAUUCUGAAACACUUAUUUGGAUAAUGAACAGUCGUGUUUUGUAAGGACACGUUUGUGUUUUCCUGUUUUGUUCAGGAAAAAAGACAAAAUAUAAAAGAUAUGAAAAUUAAGUCAACCCUAAAUUCUCUUUACUGCGAGUAUAAAAACUGAAUAUUUAUGAAAAUGAUCCAAAGACAUUUUCACUCUAAAAUACAACAAAUUCUACCAUAAUUUAUGUUGAUUAUUGUAGACUACUCUACAACUUUUUUGCAUAACAGUUAUCUCAAUAUUACAAUAUAUUACAAUAUAUAACUGUAAUAAAAAUGUCACAAUGCUAAAUGGAAAAUAUGAUUUUUGCAUGGGUAACUUUAGACUUUAGAUAAAACAGAUAAAAACAGAUCAGAUUCACAGACAAAAGACAUCAGUGUCAAAUUAAAUUUCUUCCAAAGCUUUAUUUUCUUACAAUUGAGUAUAAAUCACAAACUGACAAAAAUCCCCUACAGAAAUAUGUUUACAUGUAGACAGUUAUUCAGGUAAUUAAAUACCUCAUAUUAAUGGGUAGUUGAUGCAGGAUAUUGUACAUAGAAAUGAAGUACAGCAGUUUUAGAAAGUAUUCAGACACUUUUGGACACUUAAAAAUGUCUAAAUUUCAUUCAGAACAACUAUCAUCUGUGCUCAAGUGAUGCUUGAGCAAAACUAACACACUUCUGAGUCGCUAUAAAUUAUAUUAACCCUUUGACGCGUACGAUCACACCGCUGUGAUUAGAACGUUCAGUGCAUCAUGUGAUCAACCGCCAUAUUCAGAUGUGCUUGCACGCUUUGGCUGGCGCUCAAACAGAGACGGACGCGCUCAGCGCUUUUCAUAUAUCACAGAUAUGCAGUGUUUUCAACCACAUAAUGUUUAUUUUAGGUUUCAGACAUUAAACUGUACUUUUAGAGUUUGUAAAGUACGCACUGAUGUCUGUAGAAGCGACAAUAACGAUCCUUUCCAUAAUAAUUAGACGACAUGUUUUAUUCAUAUCAGAUACACACUGUGUAAGUAACUUUAAAGUUUUCUCUAUUCUUCUCCCAGUUCACCGGCUCACUUACUUUCAUGUAUUUCAGGAGAAGUGGAUGAAUUCACGUGUUUUAAAUCCAACAGAUCCGAUUCUCUGAACAGCGGCACAAACUAACAUGGCGGUGCCUAACGCGAUCGUUAUAAAAGUGUUUAAACAGAAAAACACAUCCACUUGCACAUAUUUGACAAUCAGAAUAUCAGAUAUUUUAUGCUACAGUUAACAAAAACAUAUCAAGUCCUCAAAAGUAAAUGUAAAUGCUUAGUAUAAAAUAAUGUGCAAAAAACUAUAAUGAAUCAAAAUGUAGAAAACACAUUAAAUGUUUGUAUCAUGAAUUAAUCUCAGAAAAGUGAAGGUUAUAUAGACUUUAAAUGAAGAUAAUUUGACUCCAAACAGCUUGAUUGAAUCUUCAUGAACUGUUAUUGGUCACUCUCUCACUCACUUGAUGCAGAUGAAGUUGUUUGUGUCAGUUUCAGGAAGGCUGAUCCAGCGCUGGUCUCUGGUCUGAAUGGCUCCGGAUCUCACUGUCGUAGUGCAGUCCUCCUCACCGGUGCCGUUACCCGCAGCCCACUGCUCAUAGCACAGGGUCUGACCGUUCACCCAGAACCAGAGGCCGACCACGCAGGAGUGACGGAGACCCAGCCACACGUGAGGGGUGGAGGCGCUCGCGGUCACGUUCUCCACUCGACGCUGAACAUCCUCCGAGUCCACCGACACCAGUAUCUCUGAGCGUCAGUCCAGCUCAGGUCCUGAUUCACAAAGUGAUACCGAUGCAGAGCUCCUGCAGACAAACUGACCACAGCUGAGGAGAGACAAAUUCACACAGAUCAAGACUCACAUCAGCACUAUUUCAAGAGUUCAAACUGCAGACGUUUGAGGAGAUGAAAGAAGAGAUUGACUCUCAGAAGAAACAUCUAAGAUGAAGCUGUUUCUUCAAUGAGACCUGAAGGAGAAGUCUGCUGAGACAAUAGUCACGAGUGUCCCAGUGUCCCUCAGGGAUGAAUAAUCCAUUACAGACUGGAUCUUCAGGAAAGAAUUUUAAUGUGUGCCAUUGUUACUCAAGUAAUGAUGCUAAAAACCACAAUCUAACCAGGAAACCAGGAGCGGUUUUCAGUAACAUGCAAAAUCAUCAGAAUACUCAUAAUUAUCUAGAAUGAAGCUAAUUGUCUAAAACUUUUGGAAUCCUGUGGAAUUUGACCUCUGAAUACACGUCUUUGAUCAGAAUAUUUGAAGAAUCAUCCCUCUGGAACUCUAAACGUUCACUUUUAGAUGCAGUUGUAUCUCAGUUGUCUGAAGAUGAUGAGGGACAGAAGAUGAUAACGGAUGCUGCAGCCCCCUGCCACGACGGCUGCGGAUCCUCUUGAUUAUAAAUGAUCAUGAACGGUCAGGCAGUGCUGCUAUUGACCUGUUUAUGAGGGAAGAAGAGCGAGGACAGUACAUCGCAUACAGGCGCGCGCAGUCAGGGGCAUCGCUUCGCAGGGAGAGAACAUUUAAAGAUAACAGUGUUCUGCAGGAAAUCACGAGUCGUGAAAACACUCACACGUACAUGUAAACACAAUUAGCAUGAACGACAUUACAUACAUGCACAGAAAUAAAAACGGCCUCAUGUUCUGAAGAAGAUGUGAGUGGAGAUUCAUCUGCGAUACAUAUGUGAAAUGAUGCAUCCCAUUGCAGUUUUUCUACUUCAAAAUUUCAGGUUAAUUCACUCUUGAAAUAGUUAACCCAGAGUCAUUCUAAACCCCGGGUGAAUGGAAUUUUUUAUUAAGUUUUAUUAAGUGUUAACAAUGAGAUUAUGUGGUUUUUAUAAUCAAUUAACACUCUUUUUGUCAUUUUUUACAAGAUGGACAAAAUUUGUCACCAAAAAAGUCAUUCAUUUUAACCAAAAUUUCGGUUUUACCGAAUGACACUUUUGGUUAUACCGAAUGACGAUAUCUUCAAACAAUGCUAACAGGCUGAUAUCUAGCUAACUAGCAAAAGGACAAUCAAACAUUUUAUAUUUAGUACAAGUUUUUAAAAUAUUCCAACAUUUUCCAUGUUUUAUAGCGGUUGUACCGAAUGACCUGAUGUUUCGGGACAUGCGUAUGAUCAAGUGAAAACAUGAAUUAUUCAAAUAGUUCAGAGAGAGUUAGUUACUUUGCUUCAUGACCAUGUGGUCUGAAUGAUGUCACAUCCUGUCACAUGAUAUUGACCGCAUGACUUGAUCCAAAAUGGUCCCUUUAUAUUAGUUACUCCGAAUGACAUCAAUGAAAUUCAUUUUUCCGGACACUCUUUCUCAUAACAAAGCAACGACUUCUGCACAUAAUUUUAAUAUCAUUUUGCACUAUGUUGAUAUAUGAUGUUAUAAAAUCAUGCCAGAAUAAAAAAUAUAUACAUUUAAUACAUUUUAAUAUAUUUUAAUCACAAAUGAAAUGGCUGUAUUGGCCUUUGGACGGUUAAACCAAAUGACCUUUUGACACUUCAGAAUAUUCAAAAUACCUUUAUAUGUCGCAAAAUAUAAUUAAAACCUUUUGGAUUCAGUAAAAGAGAUCUAGUUGUACUACCUUACAUACUCUGGAUGUCAUAUCUGUGUUUUUUAUUAUUAUUAAGGCCUUUGGACAAAAAAAAUGACCCGUCACGUCAUUGACCCAAAUACAUUUCAAAACCCAGGGUUAAGUCGUUAUUUGCAUAUUAGCAGUGUCAGUGUCGCUAAUUGGACGAGCGCAGCGCACAAUCUAUAAAAAAGCUGUACUAGCAUCUUCAUAUAUUGCCAAGUUUAUACUGAUUUAAUAGUACAAGCUUUUUCGACUAUAAAGAUAAGAACAAAACGAUCUCUUCUUCACUUCAAUUGGCACGUUUUCUGUUUGAUAUUUUUCUCAUCAAAGGCUGUAUGAACAGGCCCCAGCAGUGUAAAAGAGCGCAGUGGAAUUGAAAAACGCAUUCGUCGUUGCAGUGUGGGGUUAACAGCGCAAAAGCGACUCUAAUCCCGCUUCGGACCAGGGUUUCAUUACCCAUACGAGGAGUUUGUUUUGGAAACAUCAUACUCAAAACGAAAUUGCAUUUGCAGACCAUUUUACUUCCAUAAUGUGAUAUUCCCAAGUGAAACUGAGUAUCUGAUGAUAAACAUGUAGUGCAGGACUGGAUUUCAUACAUCAGGAGUUGAUUAGGUGUUUUAUAUGUAGGUCGUUGGAGAAAAGAAUUACAUUAGCUGAAAAAAAGAAAUGGCAUUUAAUAAAUUUAUUCUUAAUUCUGAACGAUUACCAGGAAAAAAGUAAUUUUUCUAAAAUGUGCAGGUUGUAAAAUGUUAAAACAAACAUGUCAAGAAGUGUCAAAACAAGAUGGUGGAUGGAAGCUGAAACAUCUUACUUCUUUUCAUUUGUCCAGCGAUUUUUAUUUGUUUGAACAAAGCGAACCCGUUUUUUUUUCCUGUAGGCUAGAAUAAAGUGCCUGAUGAAUCGUUCACAAUAAGACCAGGAAGACACAAUAUACCACAUACAAUAUCUCACAGUGGAUCUGAAUCUUAUAGAAACACUUUUUAAACGUUUCCCAUAUUAGUUGAACUAACGGGCGGCGCGCCAUGUUUACAAACGAGUUUUACUGCACACAAACCACGAAAUCUGAUCGGACGAAUCCCAACAUAAGUCUGGUUUCCCCUGUAGACAGAGUUUGUGUUUGUUUUCAGUGAGUAAUUUUUUUAAAACUCAGUUUUUCCAUAUAUUCUCAACUGGAAGUCAUGAAUAAAUAAACGAUCUCCUGACAUUCUCCUCAUUUUUGUCCAUUGCUGCUUCUCCACUUUACGGGAACUAUUAUUGAUUAAUUUAUCCUGCAUCAAUCCGUCAUGAUCAAUACACCAGCACAGCAACCCUGCUGAUCCGCACACAUUUGACCGAAUGUUUUCCUGCAGGAUUCAUUAAAUUGGCUUUUUCUCCCUCCGAGUUUUUGUUUAUUUCUCUUUUCAUUUGUUUGGCUGUUUUUUAAACAUUUUAUAGGACACUGUUAGUUCACAUAAACUGUUCUUUAUCACUACAGUAGCUGAAAUAAAAUAAGUGUGCCUUUUAAUA